UACAGAGGUCCCAAGCGUUGUUCGGAUUCAUUGGGCGUAAAGGGUGCGUAGGUGGCGCCGUAAGUGGGUGUGAAAUCUCGGAGCUUAACUCCGAAACUGCAUUCGAUACUGCCGUGCUUGAGGACUGGAGAGGAGACUGGAAUUUACGGUGUAGCGGUGAAAUGCGUAGAUAUCGUAAGGAAGACCAGUGGCGAAGGCGGGUCUCUGGACAGUUCCUGACGCUGAGGCACGAAGGUCAGGGAGCAAACGGG
rnacentral:rRNA from 1 species